CGAGUGGCGAACGGGUGAGUAAUACAUCGGAACGUGCCCGAUCGUGGGGGAUAACGAAGCGAAAGCUUUGCUAAUACCGCAUAAGAUCUAAGGAUGAAAGCAGGGGACCGCAAGGCCUUGCGCGAACGGAGCGGCCGAUGGCAGAUUAGGUAGUUGGUGGGAUAAAAGCUUACCAAGCCGACGAUCAGUAGCCGGCCUGAGAGGGUGGACGGCCACAUUGGGACUGAGACACGGCCCAAACUCCUACGGAAGGCAGCAG
rnacentral:rRNA from 1 species